UGGGGAAUUUUGGACAAUGGGCGAAAGCCUGAUCAAGCAAUGCCGCGUGCAGGAUGAAGGCCCUCGGGUUGUAAACUGCUUUUGUACGGAACGAAAAGACUGGGGCUAAUAUCCCCGGGUCAUGACGGUACCGUAAGAAUAAGCACCGGCUAACUACGUGCCAGCAGCCGCGGUAAUACGUAGGGUGCAAGCGUUAAUCGGAAUUACUGGGCGUAAAGCGUGCGCAGGCGGUUUUGUAAGACAGUGGUGAAAUCCCCGGGCUCAACCUGGGAACUGCCAUUGUGACUGCAAGGCUAGAGUGCGGCAGAGGGGGAUGGAAUUCCGCGUGUAGCAGUGAAAUGCGUAGAUAUGCGGAGGAACACCGAUGGCGAAGGCAAUCCCCUGGGCCUGCACUGACGCUCAUGCACGAAAGCGUGGGGAGCAAACAGG
rnacentral:rRNA from 1 species